UACGGGGGGGCAAGCGUUGUUCGGAAUUACUGGGCGUAAAGGGUUUGUAGGUGGCCGGCUAAGUCAGACGUGAAAUCCCUCAGCUUAACUGGGGAACUGCGUCUGAAACUGAUCGGCUCGAGUGCAGGAGAGGGACGCGGAAUUCCAGGUGUAGCGGUGAAAUGCGUAGAUAUCUGGAGGAACACCGGUGGCGAAGGCGGCGUUCUGGACUGCAACUGACACUGUAAAACGAAAGCCAGGGGAGCAAACGGGG
rnacentral:rRNA from 1 species